ensembl:lncRNA
UUAACAUACUUUCUAGACUGAAAUCACUUCACACUCCAGCACAGGUGGUGGCGGUAUGCACCAUAAAGUUGGUAUGCGACCCGCCAAUAAAUCCAAAGAGGAAGAAGAACAGGUGAGUUUGCAGUCGUUGCUGGUGAAAAAUCAGCCUGAAGGGGUUGUUAUUCGCUAUAACAACCGCCUCACUAUACAUUAUCCUUUACAUAUCACCCUACCCACGACAGACAUUUCUGGAGUUUAGUUAACAUUUGAUUUUUCACCAGCAACAACUGCAAACUCACCUGUUGGACGCUCAUCGUGUUCAAAACCAUAGACAUCAUAUAGGAUCAUACAUGACCUUCGCAAGUAGGGCUCGGGGGAUUACUUUUCACAAGUACUUGUCGAUCAUUGGAUUUGUCAUCAAUAUCGACACGUUGAUGCUGAUGAUUCCUGAACUGCUCCAAGUUCAGCGGUAUGUGCUCACCUACAGGUUCAGCCAGGAUCACUUGGAGCUCCUAUUUAAUUCAAUCAGAGCGUCAGGCGGCUGGAAUAACAAUCCAUCGGCAUGCCAGUUCCAGGCCAUCUUCCGCCGUCUGAUGGUUCGGUGUAGUGUCUCUUGUGGCAGCACAAGAUCACACUUGUCUGCUGUGGAGAUGUCUGCUGUGGAGAUGUCAUCUGCUGAAACUGCUGAAGAGCACCCAUCUCCAUUCGCCAACAUUUCAGCCCUUGUGUGUGACCACAGUUAUCUCCCCACUCGGUUUGGUGGUCUGGUGGAAAAUUUUUUUGGUCUACAUAGCAGGGUUUGUAGUCCGGCAGAUUCUUCGAAAGCUGUCCUGUGAUGUGUGCCGUGCUAGACCAGCAUCAUUUGACAAGAGCUACCACCUUCUAGCCCUGAAAAACAACGGAGGCCUAGUGAUUCCAUCAAGGCACAGUAAAGGUGUGAUUUCUAUUAUCUUAUUUUUUAAGAUCUUUUAAUCUUUGCAUAUUAAGGUUGCUUUGUUCUUAUUUUCUCUGUUCUGUAAAGUGUAUAUGAGUACUGUGUGAAGCGCUAUAUAAAUAUGUAUUAUUUUUAUUAUUAUAAGGUGCUGAGAGCUGCAGAGAGGGUGAUCCGCCAAGCUUCAGCAAUACAAGCUCCUAAGGUGUCAACAGUCACACACAUUGUGUGGGAGGAGAUUGGGACAGAGGAUGUUUUCCUUCUUGGGGAGCACAUUGAGGAGACCCAGAUUGGCAUUGACAAUCAGUCUGAUUUGUUGUCAUUGGUUGUGUCCGUGUUCCUAAAGAUAAGGCUCCACCAUGUUGCCAAACUCGCCUCUCCUGAACUACAAAAAGGGAGCAUGAGAGAGAAGCUCUGCAAAACAGUCCUCUUUCAGGGGUUUUUGUGAGUGUGUGUGUGAGAGAGAGAGAGAAAAGAGUGUGUGUGUGUGUGAGAGAGUGUGUAUAUCACAAAUCAUUAUAAAUUGUUUCUUCAACUUAUUAAAAUAUCUUAUUUUACUGCAACUAUCUAUUUCUGCUUCAUCAUAUUUAUAGUGUGUGACUUAUAAAUUACCUUAUAUCCUACAUCACAUAUUUUGAUUUUGGACGUCUGGUCACUUUAUAUCUUAUAUCAGAAUAUUAUAUAACUGUUAAGCCUACUAUGAAUAUUAAAAUACGCUGAACCAUGUGUCCUGUAUUAUAGCUACAUGAAUGACCUUUGCAGGAAAAAAAACCCGCGUCAAAAUCAGUGAGGUAUUUAGUGAGAUAUGAUUAAUUAAAUGCGCUGACAGCUCAUUGCACCUGACAAACAAGUUACACUGAGUGGAGCUGGCGACCGAUCCAAGAUGGAUAUAUGUGAUGUCUAUG